rnacentral:misc_RNA from 1 species
CCAUCUACCACUGCCACCC